GGGGAUGCGUGGUUUCGACAGGGGGUUUGUCGGGCAGGAUCGCAGGCCGAGUUCGUCACCCACUCGCGAAUCAGGUGGCAAAACAUCGACUGCCAAAGAACCAGUCGCACUGGCUGCCUAAAUAGUAGCCACGCUCCGGCCACCAACCCUGGCGGUGGACGGCAAGCGCUGAAGGCCGGGGUGCCGCGGUCCGGAUGCCGCUAGGGACCGCCCAAGAGCAGCGGCAGGCGGCUGAGUAGCCCGCCGGCGGGCGGCUCAGUCGUACGAUAAAGCGCCGGACAAGCCUGUAGCACAUCCGCGUUCGACGUCUCUUGGACGGGGAGUUCGACUCUCCCCCAUCUCCACCA
rnacentral:tmRNA from 1 species